CUUGGGAUGACAUAGGGUUUAACUAUCAAUCCUAGAUUAGUCAUCCACAUUAUAUUUCAAACCUUUUCAGAUCCUAUGAUCCAUCACAUAGAUUGCCCUGAUCAAGAUCUUACUCCAUUGAAACAUAGUGAUGCAUCAACUCUUAAAAUAUAGAGAGAUCAAUCCCAUCUUAAUCUACACACUGACUGCCACAAGUAAUUAACUAUGCACAAAAAUCUUUCAUCAC
rnacentral:lncRNA from 1 species